GCCAGUGUCUGCAUUUCUGCAUCAGGAAGCUGUUUCCAGAACCACAGAAGGUAAUUCUGCCUUUGUUUUUUCUCUUUCCUCCAGUUUUCAAUGGCUUAUUCCUCACUUCUUCUGAGCUCUCACCCUUACCAGGAGCAUGCUUCAAUUUUAGAUUUCCACUAACAGUCCACUCAAGGCAAUUUAUACUUUCUCCGUUGUUCUCCAAAUUCUUCCAGUGUGCACCCACCCAAUUCUAAAG
rnacentral:lncRNA from 1 species